CUGGUAGAUCGUUUAUCAAAGGUGUAGCGAAUUUUAAUUCUGCCGAUGGAUGUCUCAAAUGCACAUGCCUAGCAGAAUUUAAUGAGGAUAGUAGGUGCAUGGUUUAUAAAGGAGUUAAAGCCCCUCCAAGAACUGAAAAAGGUUUUAGAGGUGAAGAAUAUGGAAACCAUCACAAAUGAUGGAGGGAUGGAAAAUUAGGGAUGAAAACAAAGUGGUCAGCCCAACUUGCGGAAGAAAUAUCUUCUUUGCUAGUCAAAAUCCGACUUCCAGUAGAAAUACAUAGGUCAUUUCGUGGAGUUGAUAUGGCGCGUUUUUGGAAAGCAACGGAGUAUGGAAGUUUCCUCAAUUAUGCCAGCAUUGUAAUUUUGAAAGAUCGAAUGUCUGAAAUGUAUUUCGAACAUUUCAAACUGUUUUUUUUGUGCGAUUACAUUGAUGUCGUCACAGGCAUAUAUAAAUAAUUGGAAAAUGGCAGGAGAAAUGCUAAAUAGAUUUGUAAUCGAUUUCGAAGUUCUUUACGGGGAAAGAUAUUUAACAAGUAAUAUUCACAAUUUGCAACAUAUAUGCGAGGAGGUUUUGAAGUUUGGUCCGUUGUAUUCCUUUUCUACAUAUCCGUUUGAAAAUCAUCUUCAGAUGUUAAAAGCUUUAUUGAGGUCAGGUUACAAUGAAAUUCAACAAGUUUUCAAAGGGUUAUCAGAGUUAGAGGAUUUUCAUAUACCAACUUUUUUUGUUUCGAAAAAAGUGUCUAAGCCAAGCAUAUUUGUGCAGAAGAAUGGAAAGGUAGUUUUAAAAUUACUAGAUUACAUAUUACGUAACGAUGAAUGCAACUCAUGGUUUUUAACGAAAGAAAAUUGUAUUGCAAAAUUUUCAAACGCAGCACAACUUGGAAAUUCGAUUCAAGUAUGCGGAAGAAUGCUCAACAACAAGUCCGAUUUUUUCAGAUCACCAUUUCCAUCAAGUGUUUUAAAUAUUUACAAGGGAUUCUCAAAUGAUUUAUCGUUGAAUGAUAUCCAGUUGAGUGUGAGUGACAUAAAAUGCAAGCUUGUUGCAGUAAAUU